rnacentral:rRNA from 1 species
GACGUAGGAGGCGAGCGUUGUCCGGCUUCAUUGGGCGUAAAGGGCGCGCAGGCGGCUUGGUAAGUCGGAUGUGAAAUCCCGAGGCUCAACCUCGGGUCUGCAUCCGAUACUGCCCGGCUAGAGGUAGGUAGGGGAGAUCGGAAUUCCUGGUGUAGCGGUGAAAUGCGCAGAUAUCAGGAGGAACACCGGUGGCGAAGGCGGAUCUCUGGGCCUUACCUGACGCUCAGGCGCGAAAGCUAGGGGAGCGAACUGG